UACAGAGGGGGCAAGCGUUGUUCGGAAUUACUGGGCGUAAAGGGCGCGUAGGCGGCCCGCUAAGUCGAACGUGAAAUCCCUGGGCUCAACCCAGGAACUGCGUCCGAUACUGCCCGACUAGAGGCAGGUAGGGGAGAUCGGAAUUCCUGGUGUAGCGGUGAAAUGCGCAGAUAUCAGGAGGAACACCGGUGGCGAAGGCGGAUCUCUGGGCCUUACCUGACGCUCAGGCGCGAAAGCUAGGGGAGCGAACAGG
rnacentral:rRNA from 1 species